UCAUUUUUCUUGUUUUUCUUUCCCCAAACCUUUUGCCACCUGCCCUUCAUCUCAAACAUUAAGAAAGUUCCAGAAUUAAGAGCCAUCUAGUGGCUCAAAGAUUGCCAAGAAAGUGCGGCAAAAUCUGCACCAUUGAUCUUAGGUUUUGGGAUAAGUUUUGUUCCAUAUAAAAGCAUAAAAAAGCAGCCUUAGGGAAGGAACAGGAGAGAGGAGAGGGCGAAAAAAGAAAAAGAGAAGAAAACAGAGGGAGAAAAAGGAAGAAAAAGAGCAGAAAAAAUUUGUGUAAAAACCCUGAGUCAGGGCUGACCUUCAGGCCUAAUUUUUGCUCAAAAUCCAAUCUAGAUUUUAGUUAUUUAGCUGAUUUUUUUCUUUCUGCACCAUAUUCGUUCAUCAAUGAACAACUUUUGUUCAGACAAUUCCUUGAAAAAACGCCAACAUAGCCUUGAAAUUCAAGCCUAAAGUCCGGGUCUUCACAGCUCUUCACCAAAAUCUGCAAUUUGGGUUUUCAUACUUGGUGGAGCUUGCUCAGCUUCCUGCGGAUUUCCAUCACAAUUUCGACUCCAUAAGGUGGUGAAGAUCCAAUCGAACCUGAAUUCGGAAGAAUAAGUUCAAGACUCGUCGGGUAUUCAGGUCAAAUUCAAUACAAGUAUAGCUAAGCCAUCCGGCUCAACCCCAAUCCGUUGACAUUACACCUUCGCUUCCGCAAGGCUGAUGCCACCGCCCUCUCUUCUGCAGUCAUGAACCACCGCAAACGCCACCAUUGUCGCUUCCUCUCGUUCUCCCCGAUCGGUACCAGCAUAAAACUCCUACAAAUUGUCAAAUCACAUCCUGCCACAGCGCAUAUUUCGAGGUCCGUCCACGGCAACUGGCUAGCCCGCACCUAUUCCCUCCCUACGAAUUUCGCAACGGCAAACAACGUCAUUAUGCAAGGCAAUUUUGGUGAAGGUGUGUGCAUUGACAAGAGAACCCUUCUUAUUGUCAAAGUCGUCGGUGGUGCAAGUGACUAUAUAUUCUGAAUCUUUCACGCAAUGUGGUGGUCGAUGCCGUCUCCAGACGGGAUACCAUUCCCCACUUGCUGCUCUGAAAGCGAUCAUGAGAUGAUGGUUUUGGCCCUUUCGGUCGCUACUCUUAUUCUUUUUUUUUUUUUUUUGUCAAAAACUCGCUACCCUUAUUCCUUCCUUAAAAAUCUUCAAAUAGAGAGUCAAAAUCUAAUUAGCAGAUUAACAUAUCCCC